CAGACUCCCAAGCACCUGCCCAUCCCACUCCAUAGCCCAGCCACCCACUCUCAUGUACAUAUGGCCAUCCCAGUAAGCAAGCCAACCACUAGAAUUUGACUGGCAUGCACCUGUGACUUACAUAAACCAGACCUCUACAUAGCCUACAUGUCUUCAUUUUGCUGAAGACUGCCCAUCAUCCUAGCCUGUUAUCUGUGAUAAAGCACACUGAAGUUAGGUUUGGAAUGCAUCCUUAUCAUGAAUGCUCUACACCUCCACCUCCAUCUCCCACAACCUAGGUAACAGCUUUGAGACUCACUAAAAGUUGAACCCCCUGAAUGAUGUAGGCUAUGGGGCCACAUAAGACUUUGUGCAUCCAGGGUUACAUAGCACGACAACUUUAAACUAAAGGUAAGGAAUUAAUUAACAUACAUUAACUAAGUUUUAUACAUGUUAUAUAUGUGAUAUUAAACCACUGUAUGGUGCAUAUUACUGUAUGUAACUUACUAUGCAUAGAGUACUUACUGACAUACUAAUUAUUUUUUGUACAUUCCAGAACCCCCUGAAUGAUGUAGGCUAUGGGGCCACAUAAGACUUUGUGCAUCCAGGGUUACAUAGCAUGACAACUUUAAACUAAAAAGCUACCAGACUGGGAUUUUAGUGUACUCCAGGAUCUACCAAAGGAUUACAUACUAGUGUACAGUGUAUAAUAGUGUUUAGUGUAUAAUCUAACCUAAGGAUUAAGUGUAGUACAUUGUGCUUUAUAGUGUCACAAGAGUUUAAUAAAGAAUUAUACCUACAAGAACCAUCCUUUGCCAUUGAAAUAACCACACUACACAUCAUACAAUACUUGCAUGUCACACAGGUAAGGUCUCUCUAACUUUUUCUUAGUUUAAGGCAUAUUUCCAAGUGUCGUUCCGGCUUACGACGAUUUUCGGCUUACGACGCGCCUCAAGAACGGAACCCCCGUCGUAACCCGGGGACUG